rnacentral:tRNA from 1 species
GGGUGGAUGCCGGAGCGGCCAAACGGGGCGGACUGUAAAUCCGCUGGCUUACGCCUUCGCAGGUUCGAAUCCUGCUCCGCCCA